ACUAUAUCAUUAAAUUAGGAUAAGCAAGGCUUUGCGCUGAGCUAUUUAAAGUUAAAAAACGACAGAAGAUGGCGGAAACAAAUAUCAAACCAACUUCAACCUGAAGCGACAAGCAGCUGUACCGCGGAUGCAGCGGCUGUAGUUGUGAGGCUUCAGCAGCAGCUCUCGGAGGAACUGCCACAGGUGGAUGGGCUGGUUGGGAUAGUUACUGAUGACUUCUGGCCAGGAAUCAUCAUCAGCUGCCGGAAUAGGAGACAGGACUAGAGGUCCCUCCCAGUCAGGUCCUGAAACACGGUGCUGACCUGCGGCAGCCUGUACAGGUGCUCGGUCCAGAGCAGCCACUUUUGAACGUGCACACUGCUCCAGUCUAAAGGGUCUGAAGAGGAAAAGACAAGGAGGCAACACAUCUCAUUAACACUUUGCAGGCCGUGUCGACGUCCUUCAGCACCUCUCCAACCACCAUGGUCUGGACCUGCUCCAGGCAGCGCUCCUCCGUUUGGCCCUCUAUCUCAGAGGGGGGGUCCUGGACCGGGCUUGGCUUGGCUAAG